GUUUUAAUUGAUGUAAACAAAGGGUUGAGUUUUUUUAUACUAUAAAAUGGUUACAAAAACCUCUGUUUUUUACAUGCCAAUGAGGAAAAAUAUGACUGAAAAUUUCAAGUUUGUUUAUGCUAUGAUGCUCUUUCUUUCCCUAUUUCUUGUUGUAACUGAAGGCAUACCCUCUCUCCAAUGUAUAUAUGACACAGAUUGUCCACAUGUGUGUCCCAAAUUUGCGUAUUGCAGUUUAGAAAGUUGUUAUUGCGGCUUAUAGUUCAAAACCAAACGAAUAAUACAAUCCACGUGUCGUUUCCAUUAUUAUUUACAAGACAUGGUCAUCAAGAAUAUUGCUGAAUAAUUAUAAUCAACUACUUCAUUGUUUUGUUGUUUUGGUUUUUUUUCUUUGCGGUGGUGUUUUGAUGUAGUGUAAUUUUAAUAUUUUGACUGUAUUUAAUAUUAUAGUUUCGGAUAUAUGGAUAUUUAGAAAGCAUGGAGUUUUUAA